GCCCCUUCGUGACCUUACUUUCUUCCUUCUUUGUCCCUUUCCUUUCUGUCUCCUUCUUUUCUCUCCUCACUUGAGUGUGUGACACAGAUGGUACUCAUAGACAAUUACUUUUAAUUGCUUGAGUUUGAUCCUUUGUUGUGUUCGUUCCAUUAAUUCUACUUCUUUGCAAGUCUUUUCCCUUGAUGAUCUGUUUUUUUUUUUAAAAAAAAAGAAGAAAACUAAAAAAAACAUUGACCGAUCAUAGCUUAGGUUAAUUAUAUUUGUCGUUGGAAGCGAGCUGGUAUCAUCCAUGGAGGCGUCUAAGUGAUUAUCCUGAACCUUUCAUUCGUUUCUUUCUUUGCUAGCUGGAUUCCAUAGAGAGCUAAAGGCCUUCUCCAUUUCAUUGAGCAAUCAGUACCAGUGCUUUUCCCACUUAUUUUCUCAAGUUAAGCUUAGGUUAAUUAUAUUUGUUGUUGGAAGCGAGCUGGUAUCAUCCAUGGAGACGUCCAAGUGAUUACCCUGAACCUUUCGUUCGUUUCUUUUUGCCUGCCGUUUCUUUUCACUCAAACUAUAUAUCUCUGCACCGGUUGUUGAUUUUGGAUCAUUUCCCAAUUUAGGGCGGAAGACUACGGGAAAGAGGAGAUUGGUUGUGGUGGGGAUUGAAGCUGUGAUUUGGGAUCGGUUCAUGAUCUUCUGCUGAUAGGUUUAUCCAGCAGACUUCAAGAGGUAAGAACCUGCUCUUAUAUAUCAUGCAAAGAAAUGGAUCAGAUCAGAGUUGCUAAACAUGAAAAGAGAACAAGAGCUAAAGCUGCAUAAAUUAACAGCUUAAUAAAAAGAAUACAAUUUUAUUGUGAUGAUUUGAAAAUAAAAGUGAAUAGAAAAAGAUAACAAAACUCUUGAAGGAUUAGAAGUAGGUAUAAAUGAAUGAACGGUAUUAUAGUAAUUGAAUAAAGAGUUCAUAAACAUAAAUAGAAAAAAAAGAAACAUCUGAAUUCCUAGAGAGAAAACUGUAAGAGUGAAAGAAGAAAAAGAGAAAAGAUAAAAAAAUAAAGAAAGUAUAAGAGAGUUAGAGAAAAUAAAUUAAAAUGUAAGAAUAUUUAUGCUUUGAUGUGUAUAAAAGUGUUUUUCUUAGCUUUAAUUUUCUGUUUUGUUGAAUAUUAGGGUUUUGAAGAUUGUGUUUUGGGUUUGAUUGAUGAAUUGAUUUGAAUAUUAUGUGUUUAUUAUUAUAGAUAAUGAAUUAUUUAGUUGAUUUUGAAAGAUUUUGAGUUGUGGUUUUGUUUAAAUAGUGAAUUUGAGUUAUAAAUCUUGUUAUAUCAGUAGAUGAUAUGUGAAAAUUCUAGAUUUGAGAUUAAAGAUGAUGAAAUUUCAGUUUGGUCUCUCAAUUUAUAAAAAUUUCAGUUUAGUCCCUAGAGCAUAAUCCGAGAUUCUGGAUAAAAUGGAAUGUUGAGAAAUUAUAGAGACAUGUUACUUGGUAGCUCAAAAAGAAAAGGGACUAAAAUAAAUUUUGCAAACAAUUACAGUGUCGCCGCAUAUUUUUAUCGAGUUUUUCAUUUCAGUUAUCUAUCUUUGAAUUCAACUCUUAUCCUUAAAAAAACAAAAUGCAAUUGAGUUUUAAUUUGGGCAAAAGAUAUUUAAUUAUGAAAAAAAAAUUCAAAUACCAAAUUUAAAAUUUUUAAAAAAUUCACUAUUAAUAUCCACGUCCACAAUAAAAUAAGUCUCGGUGAAUAGUAAUAAACAAAAAACUCUUUUAUCUUUUAAUUUAUACUAUAAUUUAGUAUUGUGAUACAUAUUUUUUUAAAAUAAUUUUUUAUUUAAAAACAUAUUAGAAUAUUAUAUAUAUAUAUAUAAUAACAAGAAAUAAUUAAAAAUAUAUUAAUUUAAUAUUUUUAUAAAGUAAAUAUAAUUAUAAAAACCCACUCUGACACAGUAAAAAAACAAAUAACCUCUUUUUCAUACUAAUUUUCAUCUUCUAUUUUAUACAAGACUUGCCCCCUACGUGACCUUAUUUUCUUCCUUCUUUGUCCCAUUCCUUUCUUCCUCCUUUUAUCAUGCCGUGAUUUUAAGGUUUUUAUUUUAAGUGCUUGAAUAAGUAGAUGUUUUUGAAAAUAUUUUUUAUUUUAAAAAUAUAUUAAAAUAAUAUUAUUUUUUUUUAAAUUAUUUUUAAUAUCAAUAUAAAAAUAAAAAAAAUUAAUUUAGAAUACAAAAAAUAAUUUUAUAAAAAAAUAAUUUAAAAAAUAAAAAACAAACACGCUAUUUCCCUCCUUAUUCGCUAUCGUGGUUUCAGGUCCUCCUUUCCUGCCUUAUCUGCAAGAGCAUGAAAAAUAUAAAAUAAAAUAAAAUAAAAUCAAACGAGCAUGGCUGUUAACAACUAAUGCCUUGUUUGUUUCCAGGAAUUCAUUUUCCUGGACACCAUUUUCCCCACUUUUCCAUGUUUGAUAACUAUAAGGAAAACUAGUCAAAGAAAUUCAAAUUCCAGUCAAAGGAAAAUAAUACACUUUAAGUCAGGAAAGUGUUUUCCUUUCCUUAUUUUAAGGAAAACACUUUCCUUUCCUUUGUUCACAAAACAUGUGAACGUUUUACGACUUUUGAUGAUUUCUUCCUCCCGCUAUUUCAUUGUGCAAUCAGUACCAGUGCUUUUCGCACAUAUUUUCCCAAAUUAAGGUAAUGGAAUUCCUAUUCCCAUUCUCUCUGCGCCUGUUUUACUUGUAUCUGUAUCCUUAUUUCUUUGAU